rnacentral:tRNA from 1 species
UCUAAAAUGGCAGAUCACUGCAUAGGAUUUAAGCUCCUAGUAGGAAAUGUAUAUUUCUUUUAGAA